CCUACGGGCGGCAGCAGUGGGGAAUAUUGGACAAUGGGCGAAAGCCUGAUCCAGCCAUGCCGCGUGUGUGAAGAAGGCCUUCGGGUUGUAAAGCACUUUCAGUGGGGAAGAAAGCCUUGGGGCUAAUACCCUCGAGGAAGGACAUCACCCACAGAAGAAGCACCGGCUAACUCCGUGCCAGCAGCCGCGGUAAUACGGAGGGUGCGAGCGUUAAUCGGAAUUACUGGGCGUAAAGCGCGCGUAGGCGGUCUGAUAAGCCGGUUGUGAAAGCCCCGGGCUCAACCUGGGAACGGCAUCCGGAACUGUCAGGCUAGAGUGCAGGAGAGGAAGGUAGAAUUCCCGGUGUAGCGGUGAAAUGCGUAGAGAUCGGGAGGAAUACCAGUGGCGAAGGCGGCCUUCUGGACUGACACUGACGCUGAGGUGCGAAAGCGUGGGUAGCAAACAGGAUUAAUACCCGGGUAGUC
rnacentral:rRNA from 1 species